CGCGUAUGCAACCUGCCUGUAACAGGGGAAUAGCCUCUUGAAAGAGAGAUUAAUGCCGCAUAAUACGAUAUUCGGGCAUCCGGGUAUUUUUAAACAUUUAUGGGUUACAGAUGGGCAUGCGUUUCAUUAGGUAGUUGGUGAGGUAACGGCUCACCAAGCCGACGAUGAAUAGGGGUUCUGAGAGGAAGGUCCCCCACACUGGUACUGAGACACGGACCAGACUCCUACGGGAGGCAGCAGUGGGGAAUAUUGGUCAAUGGACGCAAGUCUGAACCAGCCAAGUCGCGUGAAGGAUGAAGGUAUUAUGUAUUGUAAACUUCUUUUGUCAGGGAAUAAUGGGUGUCACGUGUGACGCAGAGGAAUGUACCUGACGAAUAAGCAUCGGCUAACUCCGUGCCAGCAGCCGCGGUAAUACGGAGGAUGCGAGCGUUAUCCGGAUUUAUUGGGUUUAAAGGGUGCGUAGGCGGUUUGUUAAGUCAGUGGUGAAAGUUUGCGGCUCAACCGUAAAAUUGCCAUUGAAACUGGCGAACUUGAGUACAGUAGAGGUAGGCGGAAUUCGUGGUGUAGCGGUGAAAUGCUUAGAUAUCACGAA
rnacentral:rRNA from 1 species